rnacentral:rRNA from 1 species
GAUGAACGCUGGCGGCGUGCCUAAUACAUGCAAGUCGAGCGAACGGACGAGAAGCUUGCUUCUCUGAUGUUAGCGGCGGACGGGUGAGUAACACGUGGAUAACCUACCUAUAAGACUGGGAUAACUUCGGGAAACCGGAGCUAAUACCGGAUGAUAUUUUGAACCGCAUGGUUCAAAAGUGAAAGACGGUCUUGCUGUCACUUAUAGAUGGAUCCGCGCUGCAUUAGCUAGUUGGUAAGGUAACGGCUUACCAAGGCAACGAUGCAUAGCCGACCUGAGAGGGUGAUCGGCCAAACUGGAACUGAGACACGGUCCAGACUCCUACGGGAGGCAGCAGUAGGGAAUCUUCCGCAAUGGGCGAAAGCCUGACGGAGCAACGCCGCGUGAGUGAUGAAGGUCUUCGGAUCGUAAAACUCUGUUAUUAGGGAAGAACAUAUGUGUAAGUAACUGUGCACAUCUUGACGGUACCUAAUCAGAAAGCCACGGCUAACUACGUGC